rfam:Haemonchus contortus, ISE/inbred ISE, WGS project CAVP01000000 data, contig: Hcontortus_contig_pathogens_Hcontortus_scaffold_2822
GGUACAAACUCGAAGUAGAGUAGAUUAUUAAGGUCAGAUGAUACUUAUAAUCUAUUCUACUUCAGGUUUGUGCCC